GUAAUGUCUGGGAAACUGCCUGAUGGAGGGGGAUAACUACUGGAAACGGUGGCUAAUACCGCAUAACGUCGCAAGACCAAAGAGGGGGACCUUCGGGCCUCUUGCCAUCAGAUGUGCCCAGAUGGGAUUAGCUUGUUGGUGAGGUAACGGCUCACCAAGGCGACGAUCCCUAGCUGGUCUGAGAGGAUGACCAGCCACACUGGAACUGAGACACGGUCCAGACUCCUACGGGAGGCAGCAGUGGGGAAUAUUGCACAAUGGGCGCAAGCCUGAUGCAGCCAUGCCGCGUGUAUGAAGAAGGCCUUCGGGUUGUAAAGUACUUUCAGCGGGGAGGAAGGUGUUGUGGUUAAUAACCGCAGCAAUUGACGUUACCCGCAGAAGAAGCACCGGCUAACUCCGUGCCAGCAGCCGCGGUAAUACGGAGGGUGCAAGCGUUAAUCGGAAUUACUGGGCGUAAAGCGCACGCAGGCGGUCUGUCAAGUCGGAUGUGAAAUCCCCGGGCUCAACCUGGGAACUGCAUUCGAAACUGGCAGGCUUGAGUCUUGUAGAGGGGGGUAGAAUUCCAGGUGUAGCGGUGAAAUGCGUAGAGAUCUGGAGGAAUACCGGUGGCGAAGGCGGCCCCCUGGACAAAGACUGACGCUCAGGUGCGAAAGCGUGGGGAGCAAACAGGAUUAGAUACCCUGGUAGUCCACGCCGUAAACGAUGUCUACUUGGAGGUUGUGCCCUUGAGGCGUGGCUUCCGGAGCUAACGCGUUAAGUAGACCGCCUGGGGAGUACGGCCGCAAGGUUAAAACUCAAAUGAAUUGACGGGGGCCCGCACAAGCGGUGGAGCAUGUGGUUUAAUUCGAUGCAACGCGAAGAACCUUACCUGGUCUUGACAUCCACGGAAGUUUUCAGAGAUGAGAAUGUGCCUUCGGGAACCGUGAGACAGGUGCUGCAUGGCUGUCGUCAGCUCGUGUUGUGAAAUGUUGGGUUAAGUCCCGCAACGAGCGCAACCCUUAUCCUUUGUUGCCAGCGAUUCGGUCGGGAACUCAAAGGAGACUGCCAGUGAUAAACUGGAGGAAGGUGGGGAUGACGUCAAGUCAUCAUGGCCCUUACGACCAGGGCUACACACGUGCUACAAUGGCGCAUACAAAGAGAAGCGACCUCGCGAGAGCAAGCGGACCUCAUAAAGUGCGUCGUAGUCCGGAUUGGAGUCUGCAACUCGACUCCAUGAAGUCGGAAUCGCUAGUAAUCGUGGAUCAGAAUGCCACGGUGAAUACGUUCCCGGGCCUUGUACACACCGCCCGUCACACCAUGGGAGUGGGUUGCAAAAGAAGUAGGUAGCUUAACCUUCGGGAGGGCGCUUACCACUUUGUGAUUCAUGACUGGGGUGAAGUCGUAACAAGGUAACCGUAGGGGAACCUGCGGUUGGAUCACCUCCUUACCUUAAAGAAGC
rnacentral:rRNA from 1 species